rnacentral:tRNA from 1 species
GUCUCCGUAGACUCAGUGGAUAGAGCACGCGCCUUCUAAGCGUGUGGUCGGGAGUUCGAAUCUCUCCGGGGACGCCA